rnacentral:rRNA from 1 species
UACAGGAGACUGCAAGCGUUAUUGCGGAAUUCACUGGGGCGUAAAGGGGUGCGCAGGCGGCCAAGUGUGUUAGGCGUGAAAGCCCGGGGCUUAACCCCGGAAUUGCACCUAAAACUACAUGGCUAGAGCAUUGGAGAGGGUGAGCGGAAUUCACGGUGUAGCAGUGAAAUGCGUAGAUAGUCGUGAGGAACACCAGAGGCGAAGGCGGCUACCUGGAC